rnacentral:rRNA from 1 species
AGUAAAUAGAUACCCGGGUAGUCCACGCCCUAAACGAUGUCAACUAGUUGUUGGGGGAGUAAAAUCCCUUAGUAACGCAGCUAAACGCGUGAAAGUUGACCGCCUGGGGAGUACGGUCGCAAGAUUAAAACUCAAAGGAAUUGACGGGGCCCGCACAAGCGGUGGAUUAUGUGGAUUAAUUCGAUGCAACGCGAAAAACCUUACCUGGCCUUGACAUGCCACUAACGAAGCAGAGAUGCAUUAGGUGCCCGAAAGGGAAAGUGGACACAGGUGCUGCAUGGCUGUCGUCAGCUCGUGUCGUGAGAUGUUGGGUUAAGUCCCGCAACGAGCGCAACCCUUGCCAAUAAUUGCCAUCAUUCAGUUGGGCACUUUAUUGGGACUGCCGGUGACAAACCGGAGGAAGGUGGGGAUGACGUCAAGUCCUCAUGGCCCUUAUGGCCAGGGCUUCACACGUAAUACAAUGGUCGGUACAGAGGGUUGCCAACCCGCGAGGGGGAGCCAAUCCCAGAAAGCCGAUCGUAGUCCGGAUUGUAGUCUGCAACUCGACUAC